rnacentral:lncRNA from 10 species
AGUGAAUGACAAAUGUAGUGAAUGACUCCAAAUCCAGAAGGGAAGACAAAACAUGUAAACCAAAAAUUACAAUAUGAUGCAACAGUUAUGACAAGAACAAUAAUCUUUGUGAACUGUGCAGAAUAAUAUGAAAGAAAAGUACUGUGUUGAACACAGAGAUCAGGUAAAAAAUUACUAUAAUCAGGUAAGAAUAAAAUCCAUGCAAGAGAUGAAUAUGGAGAUUCUAACCUAAGGCAGUGGAAGUGGUGAGAAAGGAUUAAAUCCAAGGGUUACUAAGGAGGAAAAUGCCGUCCGAGUUUAGUGGCUGAUUAAGUCAAGAUGAAAGUGAGAAAGGAAUGAAGAACAGCUCAUACAUAGGAUGAUUAGGAGUAGAGAUGCCAUUAACUCAGAUUAGAAAUAAGGAGAGAAAGGAGUGAGGUGGGGAGAAAAAAACAUUCCAUUUUGGACACAUGAUAAAUUAUACAGAAAUAGAGAUUCAGAAAUAGAUAUAUAGACACAGAUAUUAUAUAGUUAUGUAACCUAAGCAUAUUUUUAGGCAAAAGUGGGUGACAGAGGGAAGGUUAUCAGGUAUAAUUGUGAGGGGGUUAGUUGGAUAGGAGA